UGCGUAGGCGGAUUAAUAAGUCAGUGGUGAAGUCUUUCGGCUCAACCGAGAAACUGCCAUUGAUACUGUUAAUCUUGAGUUCGGUUGAGGUAGGCGGAAUGUGUAAUGUAGCGGUGAAAUGCUUAGAUAUUACACAGAACACCAAUUGCGUAGGCAGCUUACUAGACCGACACUGACGCUGAGGCACGAAAGCGUGGGGAGCGAACAGGAUUAGAUACCCUGGUAGUCC
rnacentral:rRNA from 1 species